AACGAACGCUGGCGGCAUGCCUAACACAUGCAAGUCGAACGAGACCUUCGGGUCUAGUGGCGCACGGGUGCGUAACGCGUGGGAACCUGCCCUUAGGUUCGGAAUAACUCCCCGAAAGGGGUGCUAAUACCGGAUAAUGUCUUCGGACCAAAGAUUUCUGGCCUUUGGAUGGGCCCGCGUUGGAUUAGCUAGUUGGUAGGGUAAAAGCCUACCAAGGCGACGAUCCAUAGCUGGUCUGAGAGGAUGAUCAGCCACACUGGGACUGAGACACGGCCCAGACUCCUACGGGAGGGAGCAGUGGGGAAUAUUGGACGAUGGGCGAAAGCCUGAUCCAGCAAUGCCGCGUGAGUGAUGAAGGCCGUAGGGUUGUAAAGCUCUUUUACCCGGGAUGAUAAUGACAGUACCGGGAGAAUAAGCUCCGGCUAACUCCGUG
rnacentral:rRNA from 1 species